AUUGAACGCUGGCGGCAGGCCUAACACAUGCAAGUCGAGCGGAUGAAGGGAGCUUGCUCCUGGAUUCAGCGGCGGACGGGUGAGUAAUGCCUAGGAAUCUGCCUGGUCGUGGGGGAUAACGUCCGGAAACGGGCGCUAAUACCGCAUACGUCCUGAGGGAGAAAGUGGGGGAUCUUCGGACCUCACGCUAUCAGAUGAGCCUAGGUCGGAUUAGCUAGUUGGUGGGGUAAAGGCCUACCAAGGCGACGAUCCGUAACUGGUCUGAGAGGAUGAUCAGUCACACGGGAACUGAGACACGGUCCAGACUCCUACGGGAGGCAGCAGUGGGGAAUAUUGGACAAUGGGCGAAAGCCUGAUCCAGCCAUGCCGCGUGUGUGAAGAAGGUCUUCGGAUUGGAAAGCACUUUAAGUUGGGAGGAAGGGCAGUAAGUUAAUACCGUGCUGUUUUGACGUUACCAACAGAAUAAGCACCGGCUAACUUCGUG
rnacentral:rRNA from 1 species